rnacentral:rRNA from 1 species
GACGAACGCUGGCGGCGUGCUUAACACAUGCAAGUCGAGCGGUAAGGCCCUUUCGGGGGUACACGAGCGGCGAACGGGUGAGUAACACGUGGGUGACCUGCCCUCAGCUCUGGGAUAAGCCUGGGAAACCGGGUCUAAUACCGGAUAUGACUCCAUGACGCAUGGUUGUGGGGUGGAAAGCCUUGUGCGGCUGAGGAUGGGCCCGCGGCCUAUCAGCUUGGUUGGUGGGGUGAUGGCCUACCAAGGCGACGACGGGUAGCCGGCCUGAGAGGGCGACCGGCCACACUGGGACUGAGACACGGCCCA